AGAAUACCCUUAUGUCUCUAGAGUAAUAAAGCAUACGGAGAAGAGCUAACAUUAAGGAAAAUAUUUUUCCCUGUAAAGAAGCAGACUGAAAAUUUGCAAUCUUGCUCAUUUAUCAAGGACAUGGAAUAAAGGUCGUCGGUACAGAGACGGAAUGCCUCACCAGUGAUAAGAACAUGGAUAUUCCCCGUCGGUUUCUGAGUGUUGUGGAGUGUUAGGUGGCAGGCAGCGUGGUAAGCACUGUGUGUAAGCUGUCUCACCUGUGGGUCCCCAGCGCCCGUAGAGGUAGCGACUGUUACUAUUAUUAUUUUAGAAGCACUGAAACCUGAACACAGAGAGGGAGCUAAUUGGCCCCAAGUCACUGGGCAAAGAGAC